rnacentral:rRNA from 1 species
GAACGCGUGUAGCAAUACACGAGUGGCGCACGGGUGAGUAACGCGUGGAUAUCUGCCUUUUGGUUCGGAAUAACCCCGGGAAACUGGGGCUAAUACCGAAUGGUUCCUACGGGAUAAAGAUUUAUCGCCAAAAGAUGAGUCCGCGUCCGAUUAGCUAGUUGGUGAGGUAACGGCUCACCAAGGCAACGAUCGGUAGCUGGUCUGAGAGGACGAUCAGCCACACUGGGACUGAGACACGGCCCAGACUCCUACGGGAGGCAGCAGUGGGGAAUAUUGGACAAUGGGGGCAACCCUGAUCCAGCCAUGCCGCGUGAGUGAUGAAGGCCUUCGGGUUGUAAAGCUCUUUUGGCGGGGACGAUGAUGACGGUACCCGCAGAAUAAGCCCCGGCUAACUUCGUG